rnacentral:rRNA from 1 species
UGGGGAAUAUUGCACAAUGGGCGAAAGCCUGAUGCAGCAACGCCGCGUGAGUGAUGAAGGUCUUCGGAUUGUAAAGCUCUGUCUUUUGGGACGAUAAUGACGGUACCAAAGGAGGAAGCCACGGCUAACUACGUGCCAGCAGCCGCGGUAAUACGUAGGUGGCGAGCGUUGUCCGGAUUUACUGGGCGUAAAGGGUGCGUAGGCGGAUGUUUAAGUGAGAUGUGAAAU